AUUGAACGCUGGCGGAAUGCUUUACACAUGCAAGUCGAACGGCAGCACGGGAGCUUGCUCCUGGUGGCGAGUGGCGAACGGGUGAGUAACAUAUCGGAACGUACCCAGUCGUGGGGGAUAACUAUCCGAAAGGAUAGCUAAUACCGCAUACGUCCUGAGGGAGAAAGCGGGGGAUCGCAAGACCUCGCGCGAUUGGAGCGGCCGAUAUCGGAUUAGCUAGUUGGUGGGGUAAAGGCUCACCAAGGCGACGAUCCGUAGCGGGUCUGAGAGGACGACCCGCCACACUGGAACUGAGACACGGUCCAGACUCCUACGGGAGGCAGCAGUGGGGAAUUUUGGACAAUGGGGGGCAACCCUGAUCCAGCCAUUCCGCGUGAGUGAAGAAGG
rnacentral:rRNA from 1 species